rnacentral:rRNA from 1 species
GACGAACGCUGGCGGCGUGCUUAACACAUGCAAGUCGAACGGAAAGACCCUGCUUUUGUGGGGUGCUCGAGUGGCGAACGGGUGAGUAACACGUGAGUAACCUGCCCUUGACUUUGGGAUAACUUCAGGAAACUGGGGCUAAUACCGGAUAGGAGCUCCUGCUGCAUGGUGGGGGUUGGAAAGUUUCGGCGGUUGGGGAUGGACUCGCGGCUUAUCAGCUUGUUGGUGGGGUAGUGGCUUACCAAGGCUUUGACGGGUAGCCGGCCUGAGAGGGUGACCGGCCACAUUGGGACUGAGAUACGGCCCAGACUCCUACGAGAGGCAGCAGUGGGGAAUAUUGCACAAUGGGCGGAAGCCUGAUGCAGCAACGCCGCGUGCGGGAUGACGGCCUUCGGGUUGUAAACCGCUUUCGCCUGUGACGAAGCGUGAGUGACGGUAAUGGGUAAAGAAGCACCGGCUAACUACGUG